ensembl:lncRNA
CUACAGUCACAAGCAGCCGUACACACUACAGCUUUCUACAGGGAGCAGAGAGCACAAAGCUACAGCCACAAAAGUGUUUGUGAAGACAUACAGCUAAAGGAAAACUAUGACGAGGGUCAGUCGUCAAACUCUGAUAACAUGUCUGCUGUUAUUCUGUGCAGUAACAAAACAGAUAGUAACCUCCACAGCACCACCUUCAACUUCUGCAAGCCUUAACGAGACAUCAACAGCAGGUGUCACUGAAAACACCAGCACCACUGACCUCACCCAAAGCACCAACACAGCCACUACUCCCACAAGCACCACCACCCAAACAAACAGCACCACUGACAUCGCCCAAAACACCAGCACAGCCAUUACUUCCACAAGCGCCACCCAAACAAACAGCACCACUGACAUCGCCCAAAACACCAGCACAGCCAUUACUCCCACAAGCGCCACCCAAACAAACAGCACCACUGACAUUGCCCAAAACACCAGCACAGCCAUUACUCCCACAAGCGCCACCCAAACAAACAGCACCACUGACAUCGCUCAAAGCACCAGCACAGCCAUUACUCCCACGAGCGCCACCCAAACAAACAGCACCACUGACAUCGCCCAAAACACCAGCACAGCCAUUACUCCCACGAGCGCCACCCAAACAUACAGCACCACCGACAUCGCCCAAACCACCAACACAACAAUCACCUUAAGCACUUUAAAUGCAAGUAUUCAAACAAUCCGAGAAACUACUACCACUCCUGGAUUCACCACCCCUCCAAGAUCCACCACGAAGGGUACCACUGUGGGGCAAGAUGAACACAAGCCCAAAGGUCUAAGCUCAGGUAUGGAGUAUUGCUCAGAUAUAGUUAUCCUUUCUGUUUCAUGCAUUUCCUUUCCUUUCCCAAUCGAUCCCACAACAAUUCUGCUACAUGACAUUAAGUCGGAAACCAGUGUAUCUUCACUGACAAGAGGACAUCAAGACUGAAAAAUGUCAUCUAACAUCAAAAGCCUGAAUGCAAAAAUGGUAUCAAUAACCAGAGCUUGAUUAGACAGUAUCAUGUAGAUUUUUAUCAUAGUUUAGCA